UGAGGAAUAUUGGACAAUGGGUGGAAGCCUGAUCCAGCCAUCCCGCGUGAAGGAUGACGGUCCUAUGGAUUGUAAACUUCUUUUGUACAGGGAUAAACCUGCCCUCGUGAGGGCAGCUGAAGGUACUGUACGAAUAAGCACCGGCUAACUCCGUGCCAGCAGCCGCGGUAAUACGGAGGGUGCGAGCGUUAUCCGGAUUUAUUGGGUUUAAAGGGUCCGUAGGCGGGCCUGUAAGUCAGUGGUGAAAUCUCAUAGCUUAACUAUGAAACUGCCACUGAUACUGCAGGCCUUGAGUAAAUUUGAAGUGGCUGGAAUAAGUAGUGUAGCGGUGAAAUGCAUAGAUAUUACUUAGAACACCGAUUGCGAAGGCAGGUCACUAAGAUUUAACUGACGCUGAUGGACGAAAGCGUGGGGAGCGAACA
rnacentral:rRNA from 1 species